rnacentral:rRNA from 1 species
CCGGAGAAUGUUAUCACGGGAGACACACGGCGGGUGCUAACGUCCGUCGUGAAGAGGGAAACAACCCAGACCGCCAGCUAAGGUCCCAAAGUCAUGGUUAAGUGGGAAACGAUGUGGGAAGGCCCAGACAGCCAGGAUGUUGGCUUAGAAGCAGCCAUCAUUUAAAGAAAGCGUAAUAGCUCACUGGUCGAGUCGGCCUGCGCGGAAGAUGUAACGGGGCUAAACCAUGCACCGAAGCUGCGGCAGCGACACUCAGGUGUUGUUGGGUAGGGGAGCGUUCUGUAAGYCUGYGAAGGUGGCCUGUGAGGGUUGCUGGAGGUAUCAGAAGUGCGAAUGCUGACAUAAGUAACGAUAAAGCGGGUGAAAAGCCCGCUCGCCGGAAGACCAAGGGUUCCUGUCCAACGUUAAUCGGGGCAGGGUGAGUCGACCCCUAAGGCGAGGCCGAAAGGCGUAGUCGAUGGGAAACGGGUUAAUAUUCCCGUACUUGGUGUUACUGCGAAGGGGGGACGGAGAAGGCUAUG